rnacentral:rRNA from 1 species
UUGGAGGGCAAGUCUGGUGCCAGCAGCCGCGGUAAUUCCAGCUCCNAUAGCGUAUAUUAAAGUUGUUGCAGUUAAAAAGCUCGUAGUUGAAUUUCGGGGUCAGUAGGUUGGUCAUGCCACUGGUAUGUACUGAUCUUACUGAUUCCUCCUUCCUGAUGAACCGUAAUGCCAUUAAUUUGGUGUUGCGGGGAGACUGGACUGUUACUUUGAAAAAAUUAGAGUGUUUAAAGCAGGCUAACGCUUGAAUACAUUAGCAUGGAAUAAUGAAAUAGGACGUUCGAUCCUAUUUUGUUGGUUUCUAGGAUAGACGUAAUGAUUAAUAGGGAUAGUUGGGGGCAUUAGUAUUCAAUUGUCAGAGGUGAAAUUCUUGGAUUUAUUGAAGACUAACUACUGCGAAAGCAUUUGCCAAGGAUGUUUUCAUUAAUCAAGAACGAAAGUUAGGGGAUCGAAGACGAUCAGAUACCGUCGUAGUCUUAACCAUAAACUAUGCCGACUAGGGAUCGGAUGAUGUUAAUUUUUUAAUGACUCAUUCGGCGCCUUACGGGAAAC